rnacentral:rRNA from 1 species
UACGUAGGGGGCAAGCGUUGUCCGGAAUCAUUGGGCGUAAAGAGCGCGUAGGCGGUCCGGUAAGUCCGCUCUGAAAGUCCGGGGCUCAACCCCGGAUCUGCCGUGUCGACUGUCAAACUCGAGGGCUGUAGAGGCAGACGGAAUUCCGGGUGUAGCGGUGGAAUGCGUAGAGAUCCGGAGGAAGACCGGUGGCGAAGGCGGUCUGCUGGGCAGUUUCUGACACUGAUGCGCGACAGCGUGGGGAGCAAACAGG